GGUUGUGGCUUAGUGGUAGAUCACUUGCCUAGCAUGCAUGAGGCAUUGGGUUGGAUCCCCAGCACCA
rnacentral:tRNA from 1 species